GACGAACGCUGGCGGCGUGCUUAACACAUGCAAGUCGAACGGAAAGGCCCUGCUUUUGUGGGGUGCUCGAGUGGCGAACGGGUGAGUAACACGUGAGUAACCUGCCCUUGACUUUGGGAUAACUUCAGGAAACUGGGGCUAAUACCGGAUAGGAGCUCCUGCUGCAUGGUGGGGGUUGGAAAGUUUCGGCGGUUGGGGAUGGACUCGCGGCUUAUCAGCUUGUUGGUGGGGUAGUGGCUUACCAAGGCUUUGACGGGUAGCCGGCCUGAGAGGGUGACCGGCCACAUUGGGACUGAGAUACGGCCCAGACUCCUACGGGAGGCAGCAGUGGGGAAUAUUGCACAAUGGGCGGAAGCCUGAUGCAGCAACGCCGCGUGCGGGAUGACGGCCUUCGGGUUGUAAACCGCUUUCGCCUGUGACGAAGCGUGAGUGACGGUAAUGGGUAAAGAAGCACCGGCUAACUACGUGCCAGCAGCCGCGGUGAUACGUAGGGUGCGAGCGUUGUCCGGAUUUAUUGGGCGUAAAGGGCUCGUAGGUGGUUGAUCGCGUCGGAAGUGUAAUCUUGGGGCUUAACCCUGAGCGUGCUUUCGAUACGGGUUGACUUGAGGAAGGUAGGGGAGAAUGGAAUUCCUGGUGGAGCGGUGGAAUGCGCAGAUAUCAGGAGGAACACCAGUGGCGAAGGCGGUUCUCUGGGCCUUUCCUGACGCUGAGGAGCGAAAGCGUGGGGAGCGAACAGGCUUAGAUACCCUGGUAGUCCACGCUGUAAACGGUGGGUACUAGGUGUGGGGUCCAUUCCACGGGUUCCGUGCCGUAGCUAACGCUUUAAGUACCCCGCCUGGGGAGUACGGCCGCAAGGCUAAAACUCAAAGGAAUUGACGGGGCCCCGCACAAGCGGCGGAGCAUGCGGAUUAAUUCGAUGCAACGCGUAGAACCUUACCUGGGUUUGACAUGGAUCGGGAGUGCUCAGAGAUGGGUGUGCCUCUUUUGGGGUCGGUUCACAGGUGGUGCAUGGCUGUCGUCAGCUCGUGUCGUGAGAUGUUGGGUUAAGUCCCGCAACGAGCGCAACCCUUGUUCACUGUUGCCAGCACGUUAUGGUGGGGACUCAGUGGAGACCGCCGGGGUCAACUCGGAGGAAGGUGGGGAUGACGUCAAGUCAUCAUGCCCCUUAUGUCCAGGGCUUCACGCAUGCUACAAUGGCUGGUACAGAGAGUGGCGAGCCUGUGAGGGUGAGCGAAUCUCGGAAAGCCGGUCUCAGUUCGGAUUGGGUCUGCAACUCGACCUCAUGAAGUCGGAGUCGCUAGUAAUCGCAGAUCAGCAACGCUGCGGUGAAUACGUUCCCGGG
rnacentral:rRNA from 1 species